rnacentral:rRNA from 1 species
UACGUAGGGGGCAAGCGUUGUCCGGAAUCACUGGGCGUAAAGCGCAUGUAGGCGGGAUAUUAAGUCAGGUGUGAAAACUAUGGGCUCAACCUGUAGAUUGCAUCUGAAACUGGUAUUCUUGAGUAUUGGAGAGGAAAGUGGAAUUCCUAGUGUAGCGGUGAAAUGCGUAGAUAUUAGGAGGAACACCAGUGGCGAAGGCGACUUUCUGGCCAAAAACUGACGCUGAGAUGCGAAAGCGUGGGGAGCAAACAGGAUUAGAUACCCU